GCAUAUUCAAGGUGUGGUCUUACCAACGAUUUAUAAAGAGGCAAAAUUAUAUUUUCAUCUCGAGAAUUUAUGCCCCUAUUUAUACAUGACAAAACCUUACUGGCCUUAGCAACGGCAGCUUGACAUUUCAUAUUGCUGCCUAAUUUGUUGUCUAUAACAAUUCCCAAAUCCUUCUCAUGUGUGGUUAUCCCUAGUUCACUACCAUUUAGGGUGUAAAUUGCUU